rnacentral:sRNA from 1 species
AUAAAAUAUAAAUGUAUUAGAGAAUAUACAAUUUACAAAACUUUUAUAUAUAAAAAAGAAUUCUUAAAUUUUAAAAAUUACUACUUUAAAAAAAAAAUCACAGGACGGGUAAAUAAAUUAUAGAACAGGUUUUAUUUUGGAAUUGGGUUAUAUGGUGGAUGUAUUUGAAUCAAUAUUUAUAAAAUUUUAAAUUAUUAUUAUGCUGUUGUUUUAAUAGGGGUUACAACUUCAGUUUUUUAACAAUUAUCUCAUGGAUUCGUGGUAUAGCGUUAUUUAAUAACAAUUAUAAACUGUAAAAUAUAAAUAUAUUUUAAAAUUAAAAAUUGCAAAUUUUAAUAUAUAUUACUUUUAAAAUCGUCCCGCGGUAUACCGUGCGGUAUACCGCGGGUUAAAAUCUAGUUUAUAGAUAAAGCCAAUACAUUUCCUUGCUAAAUUCAACAUACUAACAACUAGAUUAGUAGAGCUACAAUUGCAAAUAUACCAUUCCUUUUA